CUUCAUAAUGCUCAAGUAGCUGCUCUUCUCCCAUUUAACCACCAUAUACUGGCACAUCAUGGUGACUCCUAAUGUAGGCUGGCCAAGUACCUAAUGGGACCCAGGACCUAAGGGAGCUUGGACAACCAUGUCAGACAUCAAGAUAUAAAAGCAACAUCAUCUACAUGACAUCUCUUUGCUGAUUGCCAGGAGCACUAAAGAACCUCUUUAAAUUCAAGGCUUAUGAUGAAUUCCUCUCAUGGCUGGAGCCAAAUCAAGAAUUCUUACAACUGACACUGAAUAAAUCCCUCACUUCUAAACAAUUUUCAGGCUUCAAGGAGAAGAGGAAAAACCAAACACAUAGACAUGAAUUGAUUCUUUUAUUGCUGUUCUGAACUGAUCCAGUGUUCAUUUGAUCCAAAUUUAAAUUCUGUUCUUUCUAC